CGUGAGUGAUGAAGGCCUUAGGGUCGUAAAACUCUGUCAAGUGGAAAGAAUCUGCAAAGUGCUAAUAUCACUUUGCACUGACGGUACCACUGAAGGAAGCACCGGCUAACUCCGUGCCAGCAGCCGCGGUAAUACGGGGGGUGCAAGCGUUAUUCGGAAUUAUUGGGCGUAAAGAGCGCGUAGGCGGUUUUUUAAGUCAGAUGUGAAAGCCCGGGGCUUAACCCCGGAAGUGCAUUUGAAACUGAAAGACUUGAGUAUGGGAGAGGGAAGUGGAAUUCCUGGUGUAGAGGUGAAAUUCGUAGAUAUCAGGAGGAACACCGGUGGCGAAGGCGACUUCCUGGACCAAUACUGACGCUGAGGCGCGAAGGCGUGGGGAGCAAACAGGAUUAGAUACCCUGGUAGUCCACGCAGUAAACGGUGAUCACUAGGUGUAGCGGGUAUUGACCCCUGCUGCGCCGGAGUUAACGCAUUAA
rnacentral:rRNA from 1 species